CCUGAGCGGAGCUCCGGAAGUGUGCAGCUGUGGGUGUUCAGUGCAGCAGCAGAGUGAUGGGGAGUGUUAUUCAUUUUACUGGAUUUAAUCUUCAGGAGUAUGUGUAUUGAUUGGACAUGUGCUUAUGGUCUGAGCGCGGGUUGCACAGAUGUCUGCUGCUGUUUAAAUAAAGACUGUAAUUCUCUUCCGGAUAAUAUGGAAAAGGGGGUCCAGGUUUUUCCUGGUCUCUUCAGUAAAGAGGAGCAGCAGAAGAUCCAGCUCUGAUCAGCAGCUCCACACCUUUGUACUCAGACUGCUCUACGGGAGGAAAACCAUCAGCUCACCUGCUGCAGAAAUGGAUGCCGUCCUGUUUCAAGUCUACCACUGUUCCUAGACUGUCGUCGACUGGCCAACCUGAGUGAACUUGCACUUUAUAAAAAACACAACAACAGAAGAUAUUACAAAGAUAUUCAGGAUAUUUUCUCCCAGAAAAAGAAAGGAUAAUAAAAGGUAAGUAAUGUUCUCAAAAAGUGUAAUUGUAUUUAUCUAUUUAGUUUCUACUUAACGUUA